rnacentral:tRNA from 1 species
GGCCCUGUGGUGAAGUUCAUGGUGAGUUGCAAGCUCAUUGAUGUGUGUUGAUUGCGCACCAGGGUCU